GGUCCUUCCAAGCAUUAGCACAUGGAUAUUCCAAUUGUUUCAGUAAUUUUUUACAAGUUACUUUAUCAACUUUUGGUAAUUUUUCCUCUCUUGUUCUUUGAAUUUUCGGUAGUUCCAUCCUGCAGCAUAUUUUUGUUGAACACAAUGGUGAUUCUCUUGCUUGAUCCUUAACCUAUGAUCUCCAAGAUACCUUGUUUUCAAAUGCUUCUAAGAUUUGUCCCUGG
rnacentral:lncRNA from 1 species